UCUCUGGUGAGGGCUGUGGGGGGGGGAGGUUGGAAGAGGCUGAGCUCCCAGCCCUGGGGCAGCGGGAUGCUGAGGGUGACCCUCCUGGCCUCUGGUGCCAGCCGCCGCGUGGGCACAGAUGUCCAGAUGUGUCUGCAGUGCAGAGGGAGAACCGCGCACGGGACCCUAGCGUCCGCGCUGGCAGUGGCUUGUGCCACGAAGCCAGGAAGCAUGUGACCAUGAGAAGACAGGCAGGCAGGCAGGCCCCUCUCCCAGACUGAGGACACACGUGUGCACACACCACGCACAGUGGGCACGUCACAGCUGUCCACCCACCCUUGACCCCUUUCUGAGCCAGUUCCCCUGCCGCAGCGCCGGGCAGCCCUGUGGCCAGCCUGUCUGGGGCACCGGCAGCCCUGGCUGCACCUUCAUCCCUUCGAGCGUCCCCAGGGCCUCCCUGCAGACCUGCUCCUGGGGCAUUUUCAUGCUGUACAUCCAUGUAAGGUCACUAAGAUGUCACAUUGGACCAGUCUGGGUGAUUUCCAUAUAGAUAGAGAAAAAAAAAAAAAAAGAAUAACCCACCCUCUAAUCAAUCCAAUAUAAGACUCCUGUUUGCUUUCUGUAUGGUUAUAUCAUGUGUGACAUUUACUCCUGUCUCUGCUGACACUCUCUCUUUGACUUCCAUGUUUCGGUUGGUUUGGCAUCCGCUCAUUCCUGUGCUGUAAUGUUUUUAUUUCCUCGUUAGGUGUUAGAAUUGCACUUAUUUUUGUAAAGGGUUUCUGCCUUGGAAGCGUUCAAUGCCAAGUGGGAAGAACGGCGAGGAAACCUGUGGAGGGUUGAGUCCUCCGAGUCUGCCCGUUCUCCGGUGUUCGUGUUGCGCCCUCCCCUCCCCUCCCCUGAGCACGCAAGUCCUCAGCCGCUGGGACUCGGAGAUGGGAUACGCCGGAUCCUGGCUGGGCCCCACAGGCGGUCGUCUGCACGCGCCGCGCACAGAGCACCGGCCCAGAUCCGUGCGACGGGACCCAAUGUCUCGAUUCUGCCCAGGGGCCUCGGCACCGCUGCCGCCUCCUGCCCCGCGCCAUGCAAGCAACUCAAAAUACUUAAAAAAAAAAAGUUUACAGGAUAGUUAUUUUCAGAUCUUUGCUUGAUCAGUAUUAAGAUAAGAAAAGUAUCUAACUCGCCGCCAUAAUUUAAAGCUUUGGGGGGGUGGGGGUUGGUUUAUUGUGUUGGGGGGGUGGGUUGAGCAAUAUGUUUUUGCUGGACUCUGAAGUCUGAGACCUUCUUGUGCUGGAAACACAUGAAAGUUGUUGAAUAAUGACAAGCAGACUGUGCAUGUCUCUGAUGCUUUGUAUAAUUCAUACGUGGACAUUCGGUCUUUGGACAAUAAACAGUAUUAUCAAAUAA